AAUCCAUAGGUUAAUGAGGCGAACCGGGGGAACUGAAACAUCUAAGUACCCCGAGGAAAAGAAAUCAACCGAGAUUCCCCCAGUAGCGGCGAGCGAACGGGGAGGAGCCCAGAGCCUGAAUCAGCAUGUGUGUUAGUGGAAGCGUCUGGAAAGGCGCGCGAUACAGGGUGACAGCCCCGUACACAAAAGCGCAUGUGCUGUGAGCUCGAUGAGUAGGGCGGGACACGUGGUAUCCUGUCUGAAUAUGGGGGGACCAUCCUCCAAGGCUAAAUACUCCUGACUGACCGAUAGUGAACCAGUACCGUGAGGGAAAGGCGAAAAGAACCCCGGCGAGGGGAGUGAAAAAGAACCUGAAACCGUGUACGUACAAGCAGUGGGAGCACAGGUUUACCUGUGUGACUGCGUACCUUUUGUAUAAUGGGUCAGCGACUUAUAUUCUGUAGCAAGGUUAACCGAAUAGGGGAGCCGGAGGGAAACCGAGUCUUAACCGGGCGUUAAGUUGCAGGGUAUAGACCCGAAACCCGGUGAUCUAGCCAUGGGCAGGUUGAAGGUUGGGUAACACUAACUGGAGGACCGAACCGACUAAUGUUGAAAAAUUAGCGGAUGACCUGUGGCUGGGGGUGAAAGGCCAAUCAAACCGGGAGAUAGCUGGUUCUCCCCGAAAGCUAUUUAGGUAGCGCCUCGUGAAUUCAUCUCCGGGGGUAGAGCACUGUUUCGGCUAGGGGGCCAUCCCGGCUUACCAACCCGAUGCAAACUGCGAAUACCGGAGAAUGUUAUCACGGGAGACACACGGCGGGUGCUAACGUCCGUCGUGAAGAGGGAAACAACCCAGACCGCCAGCUAAGGUCCCAAAGUCAUGGUUAAGUGGGAAACGAUGUGGGAAGGCCCAGACAGCCAGGAUGUUGGCUUAGAAGCAGCCAUCAUUUAAAGAAAGCGUAAUAGCUCACUGGUCGAGUCGGCCUGCGCGGAAGAUGUAACGGGGCUAAACCAUGCACCGAAGCUGCGGCAGCGACACUGUGUGUUGUUGGGUAGGGGAGCGUUCUGUAAGCCUGCGAAGGUGGCCUGUGAGGGUUGCUGGAGGUAUCAGAAGUGCGAAUGCUGACAUAAGUAACGAUAAAGCGGGUGAAAAGCCCGCUCGCCGGAAGACCAAGGGUUCCUGUCCAACGUUAAUCGGGGCAGGGUGAGUCGACCCCUAAGGCGAGGCCGAAAGGCGUAGUCGAUGGGAAACGGGUUAAUAUUCCCGUACUUGGUGUUACUGCGAAGGGGGGACGGAGAAGGCUAUGUUGGCCGGGCGACGGUUGUCCCGGUUUAAGCGUGUAGGUGUGUGUUCCAGGUAAAUCCGGUUCACUUUAACACUGAGGCGUGACGACGAGGCACUACGGUGCUGAAGCAACAAAUGCCCUGCUUCCAGGAAAAGCCUCUAAGCAUCAGGUAACAUCAAAUCGUACCCCAAACCGACACAGGUGGUCAGGUAGAGAAUACCAAGGCGCUUGAGAGAACUCGGGUGAAGGAACUAGGCAAAAUGGUGCCGUAACUUCGGGAGAAGGCACGCUGACACGUAGGUGAAGUGAUUUACUCAUGGAGCUGAAGUCAGUCGAAGAUACCAGCUGGCUGCAACUGUUUAUUAAAAACACAGCACUGUGCAAACACGAAAGUGGACGUAUACGGUGUGACGCCUGCCCGGUGCCGGAAGGUUAAUUGAUGGGGUCAGCGCAAGCGAAGCUCCUGAUCGAAGCCCCGGUAAACGGCGGCCGUAACUAUAACGGUCCUAAGGUAGCGAAAUUCCUUGUCGGGUAAGUUCCGACCUGCACGAAUGGCGUAAUGAUGGCCAGGCUGUCUCCACCCGAGACUCAGUGAAAUUGAACUCGCUGUGAAGAUGCAGUGUACCCGCGGCAAGACGGAAAGACCCCGUGAACCUUUACUAUAGCUUGACACUGAACAUUGAGCCUUGAUGUGUAGGAUAGGUGGGAGGCUUUGAAGUGUGGACGCCAGUCUGCAUGGAGCCGACCUUGAAAUACCACCCUUUAAUGUUUGAUGUUCUAACGUGGACCCGUUACCCGGGUUGCGGACAGUGUCUGGUGGGUAGUUUGACUGGGGCGGUCUCCUCCUAAAGAGUAACGGAGGAGCACGAAGGUUGGCUAAUCCUGGUCGGACAUCAGGAGGUUAGUGCAAUGGCAUAAGCCAGCUUGACUGCGAGCGUGACGGCGCGAGCAGGUGCGAAAGCAGGUCAUAGUGAUCCGGUGGUUCUGAAUGGAAGGGCCAUCGCUCAACGGAUAAAAGGUACUCCGGGGAUAACAGGCUGAUACCGCCCAAGAGUUCAUAUCGACGGCGGUGUUUGGCACCUCGAUGUCGGCUCAUCACAUCCUGGGGCUGAAGUAGGUCCCAAGGGUAUGGCUGUUCGCCAUUUAAAGUGGUACGCGAGCUGGGUUUAGAACGUCGUGAGACAGUUCGGUCCCUAUCUGCCGUGGGCGCUGGAGAACUGAGGGGGGCUGCUCCUAGUACGAGAGGACCGGAGUGGACGCAUCACUGGUGUUCGGGUUGUCAUGCCAAUGGCACUGCCCGGUAGCUAAAUGCGGAAGAGAUAAGUGCUGAAAGCAUCUAAGCACGAAACUUGCCCCGAG
rnacentral:rRNA from 1 species